rnacentral:rRNA from 1 species
GCUUGUCUCAAAGAUUAAGCCAUGCAUGUCUCAGUACAAGCCAAAUUAAGGUGAAACCGCGAAAGGCUCAUUAAAUCAGUUAUGGUUCCUUAGAUCGUACCCACAAUUACUUGGAUAACUGUGGUAAUUCUAGAGCUAAUACAUGCAAAUAGAGCUCCGACCGGAGACGGGAGGAGUGCUUUUAUUAGAUCAAGACCAAUCGGUGGCGGGCUCGUCAUCGUACAACUUGGUGACUCUGAAUAACUUUACGCUGAUCGCACGGUCACCGCACCGGCGACGCAUCUUUCAAAUGUCUGCCUUAUCAACUGUCGAUGGUAGGUUCUGCGCCUACCAUGGUUGUAACGGGUAACGGGGAAUCAGGGUUCGAUUCCGGAGAGGGAGCCUGAGAAACGGCUACCACAUCCAAGGAAGGCAGCAGGCGCGCAAAUUACCCACUCCCGGCACGGGGAGGUAGUGACGAAAAAUAACGAUACGGGACUCAUCCGAGGCCCCGUAAUCGGAAUGAGUACACUCUAAACCCUUUAACGAGGAUCAAUUGGAGGGCAAGUCUGGUGCCAGCAGCCGC